rnacentral:lncRNA from 1 species
CUGCUAGGAAGGGAUGCUCUAUGCAAAAUGGGAAUGCAAAUUAAAUGUUCUCCCGAGGGGGUAUUAAUAGAAAGAAUAGGACUACAAUUACCAGUGAUAGCUACAGGAGAAACAGCUAACGUAUAUUGGUCGGGAGGCAUUGAGGCAGAUAUAGACAGAACUGUAAGCAGAUGGGGCAGAUUCAUUCGAGCCCAAAAUGCUUAAAGCAGCGAGAGCAAAAUCUGAAUAUCACUGCACAAUGCAAUAUGACCCUCAUCAGGAUCCCGUGUUAGAGCAACUAUGGACUAUGGGGGCAAAUGCUAGGAAAGCACCAAUGAUGUCUCAGUAUGUCAUCAUUGGAGAAACAGGGAGCGGCCAUGGAUGUGAUGGACGGAGACGGAUCUGAAUUUGUGCAAAAAAUGGUUCAACGUCUCCGACUCUGUCCCUCACAUCACAUCGCUGGUAAAUCCGGAGUUCACAUCAAGGGAUCUAGGAACCUAUGAUGAAGAAAGCUAAGAGAAAGAGAUGGGAUGAAACAGACAAUCCGUUGAUUUUUCCCAUUCAGAAGAUAAGGCAUUUAUCAAGAUAAUAAACACUACAAUGAUGACUGGUGUUCCUAGGGAAAUAGAGGUCAGUGCAGGCCAACAGGUAGUGUUGGGUGAAGGAAUGGGAUUUGAUCAGUGAACUUAGAGAAGAAAUGGAAAACAUCAUACCACCAGAGGUAUGGUCACAACAUGAUACAGAUGUUGGGCUAGUAAAAUCAGCAAGUCCUGUGAACAUCAAAGUUAAACCCGGAUGCUAAACCCCCAUGGAUCAGCCCAGUAUCCUAUGAAGCCUGAAGACGAAGAAGGGAUAUUGCACAGGAUUGCCCUGCGGAAGGUCCAAACCCUCACACACUGUUGACUAAUGUUCCCCAUGAUGCCAAAUACUUUACCGUGAUUGACUUGUGUGGAGCAUUUUUUUAGUGUACCCCUGGCGGAAGAUUGCAGGUAUUUAUUUGCAUUUAGAUUGUUAGGGUUUGACCAACUAAAAAAAACAACACAUAGAAUAAAAUAUAAUUUAAGAUUCAUACGAAUACUCCUUCUAAAAAUUCUAGAGUGGGAAAAGGAGCAGAAUAACUACGAUAGUAAUUUUAACAAACACCUUAAAGGAGGUGCAGGAAUUAACGGGAGAUGAGCGAUACAUGGAGUUAAAUGAUAUAAAAUAAAUAUUUAUUUCGGUCCAAGGUGGAGAAGGAAGUAUGAAUUUGAUGGAAGUUUGGAUGGGUUAAAGUUGGGACUAAUGGUAAGAAAGAUGCAUAAGGUAUGUGGAGCCGAAAUGAGAGAUACAGUUGUAACAUUGGUUUUAAUCUUGCGAUAGAGGAAAGGCAGAACGCUGUUAGAAAAGAGGUAAUAUUUUUUCCUAUGAGUAUGUGGCUGGAAGCGAUUCUGGUCUGAAUAAUGGAAUUGUAAAAGUUCUGUGAUAAAUUCUGGUUAUUGAGUCGUGGUAUUGAUUGUUUAGUAACACCGGUGAAUUGAACAUUGCAUGGAAAAAUAUCAAGUCAUUAAAGUGAAUUGCAGGUGGAGUUAAUUUUAUUUUUUACAGGGACGGUGCACAUUAAACACAGUUGUGUAUAAUGGCAGGGUAUUCCUAGCAAACAGAAUGGGCCGGUUUGCAGACAAACUGAAGGCGUUUUUAAGCAAUCUUGGGUCAAAUUAGUCAAAUAGUACGUUAAAAUAUGGGGUUUCAUAGAUUGGAAGUAAAAUAUUUUAUCCAAGGGUAGUGUAAAUUUAAGUAGCUAUGGAAUAAGACAGCAGACGGAGAAGUCCUCCCCUGCACUGCUGAGACCUUGAUGGGUUGGAAGUAGCAGGAGGAGAGCAUAAGCAAGGAAGAGAAGAUAAAAGAGACACAGAAGAAUUAGAUAACGGUUAGUGAGUGGAGACCAGCAUAGUUAAAUUAUAAACAGGUGAGGACAGAAAUAAUACUGGGACAGACAGAAAAGACAUAAUAAGAAUAGAAGAUAGGAAGAGAAUUUAGUUUGGAUCGCUUAACUUUAGGAUAUUAAUUCAUGGAGAGACUAUCGGCUCCAUAGGCAUGUAUUUUAGUUUUGAUUUUAAGUUAUGUUUUGGUAAAAUUCGCUAGGAAAAUAUAUGAUAAUUUUGUUGGAAGUAGUUAAAUCUUAAAGCAGAUAAGACACUUGACAGAGAAUUGUUACAGGGUAGCUAAGGAUGAAUGCCCCAGGGAGAAUUGGACAUGUGGAAAAUGAAAGGGGUGUCACGCUUGUCGUCGGUUAAAGAGGACCAAAACGCAGCAGAGAUUCAUGAAUGAAACCGGGGAUGCAGUAAAGAGGUUCUCUGACCAAUUAUCCACCACCUCCCUCAUGACCUGGUAAAAUAGACUGACUCUCGAUAUGUUACUGGCAAAAGAGGAUGGUGUAGGUAGAUUGAUUAGGUUCAUUGCUGCACGUACAUUCCUGAUAACACAGCUCAUGUUUGGGAAAUGGAAAAGUGUUGUUAUGGGCUGCUUUCACCUGUAUGAUUGUGUUUGUGUUGUGUGGUUGUUGUUUGGUCCCGUGUGCGAGAGGUCUCAUUUCCAGGGUUCUGGAGAGAUUGAUAACGGAGCAGAUGGGCAACCGGAAUGAUGCCUUUGAUGGAAGUGACCCCAGAGGACACUGAAUCCAGCUCUGGGCAAUGGUCCUUGGUUUGCUGUUGAGGAAGUGAUUGAAUAAAGCUUAUCCAAAAUGUUCUUAUAUGUGUUGAAUGUAGUGGCAGGUGGAUGUGAAGGGUUUUAAGUUCUGGGACAAAGAGUCUGUCCCACACAUGUUAGGUGUAGCCCCUGCCAUAAGAAGGUCCUCUUUUUAUACGUUUUUUAAAUAAUAUGUUCUGAAUUUAUCCUGUGUACUAUUUGUCUUUCCUGAUGUGAGGGUUUGAAGUUCCUGGGUGACUGGUAGUGAACCUAGUACAAGUGAGGUGUAGCCGGAAGGACUUGAGGGUUUUUUAAACUAAUCAUUUAAUCAUUAAAUCGAAAAUUUACAAUUGUGUUGAGUGACACCCUAGGGGGUGUCAAAAGGGGGAAUCUCAAAAUUUCCCUGAAAUUUUAAGAACUUAUGUAUUCACACCUAUCAGGUGUGAAAAGGGGGAUUGUUAGGGUUUGACCAACUAUUUGUUAGCAUAACCUAUAUAAAAUAACAGAGCAGCUAUGCUAUAAUAUGAAGUAUAUAAACUAUAGAUAAUUGAGUACUGCUAUAUGUUAAGAGGAAGUGGCUCAUGUGAUGGUGGGUCAUGUGGAAAGAAUACUGAUGCUUUAAAACAGGGUUUUGCAAGAGCUUUUUGCUGAACAACAGCAAUAACAGGAUAUGGGUGAAAUGUAUGUGCAUGGGGGUGUAAGGGUUUUAGAGAACUGUGCAUUGUGCAGUCACAAGAUGAGACAUCCGCCAGGAAGCUGGAGUGCGUCUAGAGGUUGGGACCAACCUGCACGCCAACGAUAGGCUGGAAUAAGUCUAAACCAUAUUCUAGCCUCUACUAUGACAGGCCCUCAGGGAGAGGGAACUAAGUCUGUCCAGUAUUUAAGGAAGAACUUGUAAUGUCAUACCAGAUCUCUGUCUGCCCUGCGUGGUGUUACAGUGAGCCCGUAUAUACGAACCACAUAUUUACCAUUCAAGUGUUUGCAUUAAUUAAAGUACAAAGAAAUCAGAAGUUACUAUGUGCUGACUAUUUUGUUCUGAUACCAGAUUCGAAUUGACGCGACCUGACAGGAUAAAAAAAAAAUACAAAAUAUCUAUAUAUUCAUAACGUAAAAUAAAGAAAUAGUGAAAUACAGGCUAUCGCGUCUAUGGUUGUUGCAAAUGCUUGUGUGUCGCCUACUGGUUAAAUUCGUGUCUUUUCGCACGAUUUGAACCACACAAAAAUGCACAAAAACGCACGAAAUCUGCUGAAAUACAUUUUGUACAUAUAUGCGCGAAUUGAAUGUGAGGUUGGCCUGAAAGGAAUCAGAGAUGGGCGUUAUUGGGCGUGAACAAGCAAAGAACUAGGGAUGAAAGAUAAUGGUGACAGAAGGACUGAGGGAAGUAACUUUUACAUAUGGAAUGUACUCCCAUACUGUAUGUAUAUAAAAGCAGAGCCUAUGCUCAGGAAGGGCAGUUGAUCCGCGGACUGGCUCGGCUUUGCUACUCUGUAUUAAAGUCUAUAUUGAAAUCACAAAGUUCUUGCAAGAGUAUUAUAUUCUUAAGACAAUUUUCCACGACAUCAUCCCUACUGCCUUUGAUCU